CAACAACAAAGCCUUUCAGUCCCAAACAAGUUGGGGUAGGCUAGAGUUGAAACCCAUAAGAUCUCGAAACCAAGUCAUGGCUCUGGAACGUGGAUAGCUAACUUCCACGCACCCCUGUCCAUGGCUAAGUAUUUGUCGAUAUUCCAAACCUUCAGGUCUCUCUUAACGGACUCCUCCCAUGUCAAGUUUGGUCUACCACGACCCCUCUUAACAUUCUCAGCACGCUUUAU
rnacentral:lncRNA from 1 species